UACGUAGGGGGCAAGCGUUGUCCGGAAUUAUUGGGCGUAAAGAGCUCGUAGGCGGCCUGUUGCGUCCGCUGUGAAAUCCCGGGGCUCAACCCCGGGCCUGCAGUGGAUACGGGCUGGCUGGAGGCAGGCAGGGGAGAACGGAAUUCCUGGUGUAGCGGUGAAAUGCGCAGAUAUCAGGAGGAACACCGGUGGCGAAGGCGGUUCUCUGGGCCUGUUCUGACGCUGAGGAGCGAAAGCGUGGGGAGCGAACAGG
rnacentral:rRNA from 1 species